UUUACGACUCUCGGCAAGGGAUAUCUUGGCUCUCGCAUCGAUGAAGAAGGUAGCGAAAUGCGAUACUUGGUGUGAAUUGCAGAAUCCCGUGAACCAUCGAGUCUUUGAACGCAAGUUGCGCCCGAGGCUAUCCGGCCGAGGGCACGCCGGCCUG
rnacentral:rRNA from 1 species